AUUGAACGCUGGCGGCAGGCCUAACACAUGCAAGUCGAACGGUAACAGGAAGCAGCUUGCUUCUUUGCUGACGAGUGGCGGACGGGUGAGUAAUGUCUGGGAAACUACCUGAUGGAGGGGGAUAACUACUGGAAACGGUAGCUAAUACCGCAUAACGUCGCAAGACCAAAGAGGGGGACCUUCGGGCCUCUUGCCAUCGGAUGUGCCCAGAUGGGAUUAGCUAGUAGGUGGGGUAACGGCUCACCUAGGCGACGAUCCCUAGCUGGUCUGAGAGGAUGACCAGCCACACUGGAACUGAGACACGAUCCAGACUCCUACGGGAGGCAGCAGUGGGUAAGGUUGCACAAUGUGCGCAAGCCUGAUGCAGCCAUGGCGCGUGUAUGAAGAAGGCCUUCGGGUUGUAAAGUACUUUCAGCGGGGAGGAAGGGAGUAAAGUUAAUACCUGUGCUCAUUGACGUUACCCGCAGAAGAAGCACCGGCUAACUCCUU
rnacentral:rRNA from 1 species